rnacentral:rRNA from 1 species
UGGGGAAUAUUGGACAAUGGGCGAAAGCCUGAUCCAGCCAUGCCGCGUGUGUGAAGAAGGUCUUCGGAUUGUAAAGCACUUUAAGUUGGGAGGAAGGGCAGUAAGCGAAUACCUUGCUGUUUUGACGUUACCGACAGAAUAUGCACCGGCUAACUCUGUGCCAGCAGCCGCGGUAAUACAUAGGGUGCAAGCGUUAAUCGGAAUUACUGGGCGUAAAGCGCGCGUAGGUGGUUCGUUAAGUUGAAUGUGAAAGCCCCGGGCUCAACCUGGGAACUGCAUCCAAAACUGGCGAGCUAGAGUAGGGCAGAGGGUGGUGGAAUUUCCUGUGUAGCGGUGAAAUGCGUAGAUAUAGGAAGGAACACCAGUGGCGAAGGCGACCACCUGGGCUCAUACUGACACUGAGGUGCGAAAGAGUGGGGAGCAAACAGG